UACGUAGGCAGCGAGCGUUGUUCGGAGUUACUGGGCGUAAAGGGUGUGUAGGCGGCCUUCUAAGUUUGGUGUGAAAUCUCCCGGCUCAACCGGGAGGGUGCGCCGAAAACUGGAAGGCUAGAGUGCGGGAUGGGAGAGUGGAAUUCCUGGUGUAGCGGUGAAAUGCGUAGAUAUCAGGAGGAACACCGGUGGCGAAGGCGGCAUCCUGGACCGACACUGACGCUGAGGAGCGAAAGCCAGGGGAGCAAACGGG
rnacentral:rRNA from 1 species